rnacentral:rRNA from 1 species
UACGGAGGGGGCUAGCGUUGUUCGGAAUUACUGGGCGUAAAGCGCACGUAGGCGGCUUUGUAAGUUAGAGGUGAAAGCCCGGAGCUCAACUCCGGAAUUGCCUUUAAGACUGCAUCGCUAGAAUUGUGGAGAGGUAAGUGGAAUUCCGAGUGUAGAGGUGAAAUUCGUAGAUAUUCGGAAGAACACCAGUGGCGAAGGCGGAUCUCUGGACAGUUACUGACACUGAGGCACGAAGGCCAGGGGAGCAAACGGG